UGCAAGUCGAGCGAUUCUCUUCGGAGAAGAGCGGCGGACGGGUGAGUAACGCGUGGGUAACCUGCCCUGUACACACGGAUAACAUACCGAAAAGGUAUGCUAAUACGGGAUAACAUAAGAAAAUUUCGCAUUGUUUUCUUUAUCAAAGCUCCGGCGGUACAGGAUGGACCCGCGUCUGAUUAGCUAGUUGGUGAGAUAACGGCUCACCAAGGCGACGAUCAGUAGCCGACCUGAGAGGGUGAUCGGCCACAUUGGAACUGAGACACGGUCCAAACUCC
rnacentral:rRNA from 1 species